GUGGGGUGGGGUGGGGUGAAAACGAUUGAUUGUGAUCUUCACUACCUUUUAGCUUUAUGCGUGCCCUCUUAUUUGCUUGUGUAUUCUCAUGGGUUAUUCUAUGUCGCCGUCACGUUCAUCGUUUGCAGGCUUGCUUGCUUAUGUAUUUACUCACUUCCUUACUUUCUUCCUUACUUACUGGCACGGUCUUCCUCUGUCUCUGUCGCCCAGGAUCACCCCAGCCUCCACGCUUUGGACCGACCGAGAAGAGGUCGUCCUGCCUCUGAUCCCUCCCAUCCCCAUUACCUGGGACUACAGGCACGCACCACCACACCGGUUGACUUUUAUGUUGUUUCUCAUGUUUUCCGUAGGUGUCUUCUCACAUGUCGACGUGAUCUCAAACUGUUAGGCCCCAGCGAUCCUCCCACGUCGGCCUCCCAGAGUGCUGUGACGACACCUGUGAGUCACGACGCAGUGUCACUCUUGUCGCCCAGGGUGGAGUCCGAUGGCGCGAUCUCGGCUCACCGCAACCUCCGCCUCCUAGGUUCGACUGAUUCUCCUGCCUCAGCCUUCCCGGGUGACGGGAAUGCGCCAUCAUGCCCGGCUAAUUUUCCUAUUUUCGGUACACGCGGGGUCUCUCCAUCUUGGUCAGUCUCGUCUUCAACUUCCGACCGUUGGAGAAUUUUAACUUUCUUGGUGGUUGCUUCUCUUUUUUUUUUUUUUUUCGUUUUUCCUUUCCUUCUCCUCCCCCACCCCCACCCCCCAUGUUCUCCUCCU